rnacentral:rRNA from 1 species
AUUGAACGCUGGCGGCAGGCCUAACACAUGCAAGUCGAGCGGAUGAAGGGAGGUUGCUCCUGUAUUCAGCGGCGGACGGGUGAGUAAUGCCUAGGAAUCUGCCUGGUAGUGGGGGAUAACGUCCGGAAAGGGGCGCUAAUACCGCAUACGUCCUGAGGGAGAAAGCGGGGGAUCUUCGGACCUCACGCUAUCAGAUGAGCCUAGGUCGGAUUAGCUAGUUGGUGGGGUAAAGGCCUACCAAGGCGACGAUCCGUAACUGGUCUGAGAGGAUGAUCAGUCACACUGGAACUGAGACACGGUCCAGACUCCUACGGGAGGCAGCAGUGGGGAAUAUUGGACAAUGGGCGAAAGCCUGAUCCAGCCAUGCCGCGUGUGUGAAGAAGGUCUUCGGAUUGUAAAGCACUUUAAGUUGGGAGGAAGAGCAGUAAGUUAAUACCUUGCUGUUUUGACGUUACCAUCAGAAUAAGCACCGGCUAACUACGUG